UUAAAAAAUUAAAAAUAUAACAAUUCCCUCCGUAAAAUAUUUUUAUUUUAGUAGGUAACAUAAUAUGUACUCAGUAACCUUAACCUUGCCGAUAAUAAUAUGCUGACGUUGAUGUGUCGAUGCCUGAAAUGAAAUGAUUUAUUUGAAUCUGUAAAAUGUUAUACAUUAUUUAGAUUCCGUCAAUAUUAACUCUACCACCAGUUCGGAAAGCAGUUCUCACUAGAGAAGAACGGGCAAGAAACUCUGGUGUUGCUCUUUUCAAUCAGUUUAGUGUAAAGACUACAGUACAUGAUGAAGUGAGAAGAUAAAAAAAAAAAUACAAUUGGUUUUUUAUUGUUGUUUAGAGCACUUCAUUUAUAGGCUUGUGUAAUAAGGAAUAAAUUAAUUUAAAUUUUCAUAUGUCUGCACAACCCUCUCAGGAAUCAUGAAAUUUGUCUAUUAUUAUCCUUAUCAUUAUUUCCUCCUAGCACCUCUAGCAAUUAGAAAUUGUAAGCGAAAUGGGCAGAACAGUCCACACAAGUAGCACCCGUUCACGAGUAUGACGCAUGUGCCAGCCAUCGGCCUCCUCAACCAUAUUGUAGGGAAGUGGCCGACCCGUCACACGACGCCGCCGCAGGUACAGAUAGUUAGAGAGUUUUUCAUAUCCAAGCCGCUUACAGUCAUAUUACAAAUAAAGAGAAAGAAAAAAUAUAUAUAUCUCGAUCAAGUGACAUGAUUCCAAAGAAAAUCACACAAAAAUGCUUAGUCCCAGGCAUUUAUAUCCUCUAGGUAUUCUGAGAUCUUGUAAUAAGCUUUAUUACACAACUUGCGCUUAAUAGUGGCUUGGAAUUUCGCAAUAUUUAAGGAUUUGAUCUCAGUAGGAACUUUGUUUUAAAAAUGUAUACAGUAACCCUUAAAAGACUUGCUGAUCUUUUGGAGCCUUGGUUUUGUGAUUUAGUAAAUUAUUUUUGUUUCUAGUAUUUUAACUAUGGAUAUCGCUAACUUUUGGAAAAUUUUCUAUAUUUUUAUGGACAUACACUAAGUUAGCGAAAAUGAAUUGUGAUGCUACUGGGUAAAGCUCAUAUUUUAGCGCACUUUGUAAAAUGUUUCUGUCCGAAGAGUUAGACUCCAAAAAAAAUUUAAAAAAAAUAAAUAAAUCUACUUUUUAUAAAAAUUAAAUACAGUACGUACAAUUUUUUAUUGUGUCAAAUUUUUUCAUAAACAUAUUUCUAGUAUUUACUUUUACACAUUAAAAUAAAAAAUGUUCGACUUUUUCAUUCCAUACAUUUUGUUGGUUUCUGCAUACGCCCACUCCACACAAAUCAUUACACAUAUAAUUUUUUAUCAUUAUGACUUUUUAUUUUUCGUAUAUAUCUUGUUCUAUUGAAUAUUUAACUACGAAAAAAACGACAACAACUACAAUUAAUCACCCCGUAUUGUUUAUAUUAACAACUUAAGAGGUGUCCCAAAUUUUAUUCUCUUGUAACACGUCAGUUGUGUAACGCGAUAUUUCCUGGUCUUGUUUAUAAUCUACCAUAAAUAAUUAAUUUAUUUGAAGUGGCAAUACUAGCUCAUCGUACUUGACACAUUCCUGAACGAUUCCGCCAUCUUUUUUUCGUGUUAGUUGGAAGAACGUGUUGGAGCAGACUGUUUCUCCUUAAGAAAAGGGAAGAUUUAUUCCUUGGAAUUAUCAUUAAUUAAAUAGCUGUCCUGAUUUUUAGUUUUAAAUCAUACACAACAAUCAUUUCUUUGUUGAACUAUGACAGUUUUUGAAGGCUAUAUUUAUUAAUUUACGUGUUAUGAUUUUUUUUAGGUUAGUUCGUAUUGUAUAUUUCAUCCGUUGUGCGACAGAGUGACACAAAUUGUGCGACGUAUUACAACGGAAAUUAUAAAAGAAAGUGUAUAUUGUUAUAUUUUAGAACAAUUCAAUUUUUGAUCACUACACAAACUGUAUUUAUUUUUCCACAACAUUUAUAAAACAUAAUUUAAAAAUAAGUGGGUUCCAUAACAAACCCGUCAGCUGAAUCUGAAAAUAAACAACUUAAUAAUACGUCAUAUAUCUAAUGUCUAUAUUACCUACUGUACCUCUUUAAACAUAUUCAUACUAUUGAUGGUGUCAUAAAAAUAAAAGUUGAAAUGCGGAUAACGUUGGUAGAGGCCUAUGUCUAACAAUGGUUGUUCGUGGGCUGAUAUGAUAAUGCUGAUAUUGAUGUUUUUUAUUUAAUAGACGAUAAAUAUUAAGAGCAUGAUUUUUCAGUAGCCGAAUUUUGUUUUUGAAAUUAUUUAACAUUUACUUUUUAUUAUUUAUAUGAGCCUAUAAUGCAAUGUGUAUUUUUUUAUUUAACUCUACAGAUGCCUUUAUCUGCGGCGGAAAGAUGUCGAAGAUACAGAGAAAAAUUAAAACAAACGAAUCCUGCUAAAUUUGAACAAUUGAAAAAGAAGAAUGCAGAGCGAACUAAGGCAAAAAAAAGAAAAAUAGUAGAUAUGACUGAAGAAGAAAAACAAGUAAUAAGAAAGCAAUGGAGAGAAGCUAAGCGCACCAAAAAAGCAAAAGUUGAAAAUUUGGAUCAAGCAACAAACGCUAUAGUUAUAAAACGACGUAAAUACCGUAGUAAAUUACUACAAGAAAACAAAAAGUUAAAGGAAAGAAAUAAACGCCUACUUGUUAAAAAUGCCAAUUUACAUAAAACUUUUAUCAGAUACAAAAGAAGGGUUAUUAAUUUAACCAACAGAUUAAAUAUAAUAACAAACAAAUCAAAUGAAGCAACUAUAUCUAGGACUCCCGUCACACCAAUCAUUUUAGGUAAGAAAGAAAUUAUUAGAAACACGUGUCUUAGAAGAAACUUUAAAAGAAACUUACAAAACCAGUAAACCAUUUGAAAAACGGGUAUUGAAGAGAAUAGUUCAAAAUGAGUCAGUCAAAAAACACAAAAUGCAGAAUAAAAUUUGAAAAUGUUUGGGUUUAAAAAGAGGCAUACGCUAGUAUCAUUUUAUAAAGCAGAGGAAAGUGAGAACAUCCAAAGAAAUAGAAAAAAUCUUUAAACAGGAUGACAUCAGUCGCAUGACCGCCGGAAAAAAAGAAUACAUCACUCGUAAUAAAAAUAAAAAACAAAAAAGGAUUUUGUUAAAUACUUUAUCCUAAUUUGUAUAAAGUAUACCGAAAUGAAGGUGGAAAUUUAUCCUUUGCUACUUUUAAACGCUGUCGCCCAUUUUAUGUGGUUCCUCCGCAUGUAUCCAACCGAAACACGUGUGCUUGUAUUAAACAUGCUAACUUAGACUUCAAAGCACAGACUCUAAAGAAAGCUGCCUCAAUAACAUCUACUGAUCCAAAUGAUUUGAUUUCUGAAAUAGUAUGUGAUAUAAAACAAACCUUGCAUGUAUUCAGAGUGUGCAGUGUGUGCUGGAAAAAAAAUUUGCUUUACUACUACAGAAGAUAUAUUAUCACAAGAGGUUACUUGGACUGAAUGGACAAUUAAAUGUUAUGAGUACGAAAAAUCUUGUAUACGCUAAACUACUAAAAAAACUGGUCAAGAGGAAAAGGCAGGUACAUUCAAUACACUAAUUAUUCAAUUCCAAGAAGAAUUCCCAAAAUUUAAAACUCAUUUUUUAUAAUAUUUACCACCAACACAAGCAAUAUAAAGAAGCUAUAGAAAAGAUACACGAUAAUGAAGUUGUCAUACAUUGUGAUUUUUCCGAAAAUUACGGAUGUAACAUGGCCGAAGAAGUGCAGUCUAUGCACUUUGCAGGCUCAAGGCAACAAAUUACAUUGUAUACAGGCGUAUUUUACAUUAAAAACCAUAAACAUUUUGUAAGCUGUUCCGCAUUCACUAAUAUAUUCUAAUUGUUUAUCCGAAAUUGUACUCAUUAUUAUAGUUCUUGCCUUUAAAUCCUUCUUUUUCCAUUCCGCCUUAGCUUUUUCAUCUUGACCCGGAGCGGGGGUUAAUGGCAAUGGCGGGCUCGUUACACUCCUUAUAUUCUAAUAAGGUUAAUAACCUUAAUUUCCAGCCCGUAUAGUUUACACCAUCGAAAAUAGGUAGCGUAACAUCUUCAAUUUUUGCUUGAUUAGCCAUUUUUUGAAAAUAAUUAUAAUUACUGUUUUUUUGUUAAUUUUUCCUUCUUGCACAUGUAACUUUAACCUCUAACUUAUUUUUUGUCGUAAUAAUUUUAACAAUCCACAUAUUGACACACAUUGAGUUUCAUUUACCAACCACGCUCUGCUACCAUGUUGGGAUAGUUAAUGCAAGAAUGCAGGAAAACUUCAGUAACAGAUAAUAAUAUUUGCAUAAUACAACAGUAAUUAUUCGACUUUAAAUUUUUAAAACUUUUCGAUUGGACUUGCAAUAAUUUACUGCUUUUAUCAUUAUUUUCGUUGCGCAAUUUAACCUCAUGAUCUAACAAUCUAGUUUUAACAAAGGCUAGUGUCGAAUUAUCUUCGGAUAGUUUCUAUUGCUUUUAUGACAUCAUCAUAUGUAGUCGGUAUUGUUAAUAAGUGUGAUACUUUAUCAGUUUCUUCCAGCGUCGCACCAGCAGCCAGCAAUUCGGUAAUUAGUUCAUCAAAAAUUGUGAAAUGUCUUACCAAAGGAAGGUCACCUUUAAGUUUUAAACUUAACAACUUUUUUUGCAAUGCCAACUGAGUUGCGAGACUUUUCCGCUCAUGUAAGGCAUCCAGGUUCCUCAAAAUAUCUCUUGCUGAGACAUCUUCGACGAAACCAAGAAAUCUGCUAAAUAUUCAACAAUGAUACCUUUUGCAAUUUGGUUAUUUUGCUUCCAAUUUUUACAAGGUAUUACGAGAUCUUCAUCAAUAACUUUAAGAACAUCCAUUUCGCUUAGUAGAGCGCGUAUUCUAAACUUUCAUACACUAUAUUUUUCUCCAUUGAAAGUUUGAUAUUUCGCUUGAAUUUUAGACCAUCCAUGGUGGCGACAAAAUUUUUCUUCGUUUAAUUUUUUUUAAAAAGCAAUCUUCAAUGUUAUUAAAUUAUUACGAAAAUAACUUCAGCAAGACUGGAGUUAAACUAAAGUUAAGACUGGGCCCCUAACCUAUGGGAAAUAAGGUUACAGACAAUAACUGAAUAUAAUUAUAUUUAAAUUUUAUAUUUCUGUCAAUCCCUUGAAAGGCUUACGUGACAGUUACCUACAACCAUAAACUGCAUAAAUGACAUAGAUAAAUAUAAAAUACGAAGGUUUCUAAUGAGAUAAAUACAGAAUAAUAUAGAUUAAUUAUAUGUAUUUUAAUAUUGAAAUUCCAACACUGACGCUUUUAGACAAUCGUCGACGAAAACGAAUACGAAGUCCAAAUCCGUAAAUAGAGAAUACAUGAAUCGUUGGAACGUUUGCGUUGCAUUGCGUAAACCAAAAGGCAUUCUAGAAACUUCAAAAAGUCCGAAAGGAGUGAUAAUAUCGGUUUUUUCCACUUUGACUGGAAUGCAGUGGUAGGCCUACUGAAUAUCAAUCUUGCUCAAGAUUUUUUUAUUUUCUAGUAUGUAAGUGAAAUCAAUUAAUCGUGGAAGUAGAUAUUUAUCAGGUACAGUCGCGUUAUUGAGCAUUCGAUAAUCUCCACAUGGUCUCCAUUCACCAUUUUUUUUCUUUACCCUGUGCAAAGGACUAGCCCAUGAGCUGUCCGAAGGGCGACAAAUGCCAAGCUCCAUCGUACUACGAAAUUCCUUUUUACCAAUACUCAUCAGGAGGUAAUAAGUCUUGCACGUGCUGAUAUCGGCGGUCCUUUAGUGAUAAUAUGAUGCUUAAUCUUAUGUUUUGCAGUAGUGCGGAGGGAGUAAGGUUUCAUAAUAUCCUCGUAUUUUUUUUAAUAGUUGAAUAACGCGUGGGUACGUUCCAAUUUAAAUAGUGCUAAUAGUUUACUGCGUCGAUUUGAUUAGGGUUGCAGGCGUCGUCAGCUCAAUUACCCUGUCUAUAAAUUUGCGAUCAGCUAUAUCAAGUAAUAACUUAUAAUGCUCUAUGAAAUCCGCUCCAAUAAUUGGUUGUGUUAUAUCGGCGAUGACGAAGUUGCAUAUAAAAUUUCUCCGUAGCCCCAUGUUCAAAGUAAGUGUUUUUUCACCAUGUCUUGCCAAGUAGUUUUACUUGUAUUAUCCGAGUUUUUAAUAUUACUACCGAUAUAGGCAGCUUUAGCAUGCUAUAUACACUUUUAAAAAUUUGAGACUAUGUUCUCACAUAAUUAUUAAAUUCGCAGCGGGUGUAAAGGACCUUCUGUCAUAUAAUUCAUAGAGAACAUCUCUACUACGUCUAAUACCGUUUGUUGCCCAAGAACUGAAUGAUAUUUUAUUUUUUAAUGGCACUGAUUUUACACCACAUGUUUUAUUAAAUAUGUUUGUAAUACCAUUUAAUAAUGUUUUAAACAUAUUAUUUGGGUGGUCUUAACCGCCAGUCAGCUUAGGCAACACCGAAUUAAGCCUAGCACUAAAUUUCUGUAGAUUACAUUGGGUUAGGGGUCUAAAUUGUACUAUGUUCUUACUUCUAUUGCUUUCACAAUUUAGUUUGACCAUUUGACAUGUGUGGUCUGAGCGAACGCCAGCUAAUAAUUCUUUAGAGUUAAUUUUAAAACUUGAAAUAACAUUAUCAAUACAGGUAGCUGAAGUUGUAGUUAAUCUAGUUGGCUCGAGAAAGUGACAGUUUAGAUUAAAUGAUUAAAGUAAAUUCAA